rnacentral:misc_RNA from 1 species
AAAAUGCGAUAAGUAAUGUGAAUUGCAGAAUUCAGUGAAUCAUCGAAUCUUUGAACGCACAUUGCGCCCGCCAGUAUUCUGGCGGGCAUGCCUGUUCGAGCGUCAUUUCAACCCUCAAGCCCCCGGGUUUGGUGUUGGGGAUCGGGCUGCGGUUCUACCGCGUCCCGGCCCCGAAAUCUAGUGGCGGUCUCGCUGCAGCCUCCAUUGCGUAGUAGCUAACACCUCGCAACUGGAACGCGCCGCGGCCAAGCCGUUAAACCCCCAACUUCUGAAUGUUGACCUCGGAUCAGGUAGGAAUACCCGCUGAACUUAAGC